rnacentral:lncRNA from 1 species
AAACGAGCGAGCCGGCUCACGUUCAACUCGUGUUCGGCUCGAUAUUCGGCUCGCUCGAGCUCGACUCGAAAUUAAAUGAGCCGAGCUUGAACAAAAUAAAAGGCUCGAAAUUCAUUUCAAGCCGAACUUGAGUAUUACUCGGCUCGUUCGAAUUAGGCUCGAAAAGCUCGAAAAGCUCGAANNNNNNNNUAUAGGCUUUAAUUUAAUUUGGGCCAUUAUUGUUGGCCUAUAAAAUAAACCCAACAAGUACAACCGUGCAAUUAAGCCCAACUCUAAAUUUACAUAACACAAUCUCUUUCAGACUUUCACUAUUGCACAUAACCCUAAAACAUGAUAACAUUCAAAUUUUCAAAUCCCUAAUUUCUCUCUCUCUCUCUCUCUCUCUCUCUCUCUUUCUCCCUCAGACCCUCGCCCAGUCAGGCAGUCACCCUAGCUCACAUUUCUUGUAAUUAUUUUGUAGUUUGAACUAUUAGACAUGUUGCAUCAAAUUAUAAAUAAUGUUAUAUAAAAAUUAAACUAUUUAUUAUAUAAUGUCGAAAAUUUCAAUCGGCUUGUUUAGAGCUCGAGCUCGGCUCGACUUGAAAUUAGGCUCGCUUGAGCUCGGCUCGAAUUAAUUUCAAGCCGAGCUUGAGCCUAGAUUUGAGCUCGAAAUUAAUUUCAAGCCGAAUUUGAGCU